UACGGGGGGGGCAAGCGUUGUUCGGAAUUACUGGGCGUAAAGGGUGCGUAGGCGGUCCGCUAAGUUGGAUGUGAAAACUCUGGGCUUAACCCAGAGCCUGCAUUCAAAACUGACGGGCUAGAGUUCUGGAGGGGGUAGCGGAAUUCCUGGUGUAGCGGUGAAAUGCGUAGAUAUCUGGAGGAACACCGGUGGCGAAGGCGGCAUCCUGGACCGAUAUUGACGCUGAUGCGCGAAAGCCAGGGGAGCAAACGGG
rnacentral:rRNA from 1 species